rnacentral:rRNA from 1 species
ACCGUACUCCUACGGGAGGCAGCAGUGGGGAAUAUUGCGCAAUGGGGGAAACCCUGACGCAGCAACGCCGCGUGAAUGAAGAAGGCCUUAGGGUUGUAAAGUUCUGUUUUCUGGGACGAUAAUGACGGUACCAGAGGAGGAAGCCACGGCUAACUACGUGCCAGCAGCCGCGGUAAUACGUAGGUGGCAAGCGUUGUCCGGAUUUACUGGGCGUAAAGGAUGCGUAGGCGGAUGUUUAAGUGAGAUGUGAAAUACCCGAGCUCAACUUGGGUGCUGCAUUUCAAACUGGAUAUCUAGAGUGCAGGAGAGGAAAGCGGAAUUCCUAGUGUAGCGGUGAAAUGCGUAGAGAUUAGGAAGAACACCAGUGGCGAAGGCGGCUUUCUGGACUGUAACUGACGCUGAGGCAUGAAAGCGUGGGGAGCAAACAGGAUUAGAAACCCGAGUAGUCCUUGAC